CCUACGGGAGGCAGCAGUGAGGAAUAUUGGUCAAUGGGCGAAAGCCUGAUGGAGCAACGCCGCGUGCAGGAUGAAGGCCUUCGGGUUGUAAACUGCUUUUAUAAGCGAGAAAUAUGAUGGUAACUUAUGAAUAAGGAUCGGCUAACUACGUGCCAGCAGCCGCGGUCAUACGUAGGAUCCGAGCAUUAUCCGGAGUGACUGGGUGUAAAGAGUUGCGUAGGUGGCAUAAUAAGUAGCUAGUGAAAUCUGGUGGCUCAACCAUUCAGACUAUUAGCUAAACUGUUAAGCUCGAGACCGUUAGGGGUAACUGGAAUUUCUAGUGUAGGAGUGAAAUCCGUAGAUAUUAGAAGGAACACCAAUAGCGUAGGCAGGUUGCUGGGACGGUUCUGACACUAAGGCUCGAAAGCGUGGGGAGCAAACAGGAUUAGAUACCCGUGUAGUC
rnacentral:rRNA from 1 species